CCUACGGGAGGCAGCAGUGGGGGAUAUUGCACAAUGGGGGGAACCCUGAUGCAGCGACGCCGCGUGGGGGAAGAAGCGCCUCCGCGUGUAAAGCCCUGUUAGCAGGGAAGAAAAUGACGGUACCUGAAGAAGAAGCCCCGGCUAACUACGUGCCAGCAGCCGCGGUAAUACGUAGGGGGCAAGCGUUAACCGGAUUUACUGGGGGUAAAGGGGGCGCAGACGGCGAUGCAAGCCAGGGGUGAAAGCCCGGGGCCCAACCCCGGGACUGCUCUUGGAACUGCGUGGCUGGAGUGCAGGAGGGGCAGGCGGAAUUCCUGGUGUAGCGGUGAAAUGCGUAGAUAUCAGGAGGAACACCGGUGGCGAAGGCGGCCUGCUGGACUGCAACUGACGUUGAGGCCCGAAAGCGUGGGGAGCGAACAGGAUUAGAUACCCUGGUAGUC
rnacentral:rRNA from 1 species